rnacentral:rRNA from 1 species
CAAGGAGGGGGCUAGCGUUGUUCGGAAUGACUGGGCGUAAAGCGCACGUAGGCGGCACUGUAAGUUGGGGGUGAAAUCCCGGAGCUCAACUCCGGAACUGCCUUCAAGACUGCAGAGCUGGAUGAUGCGAGAGGUGAGUGGAAUUCCGAGUGUAGAGGUGAAAUUCGUAGAUAUUCGGAAGAACACCAGUGGCGAAGGCGGCUCACUGGCGCAUUUCUGACGCUGAGGUGCGAAAGCGUGGGGAGCAAACAGG